UAGGAAAAUGGUCUCCUUACUUAUUGUGCUUUUUCUAUGCAGUCAUUGAUAUCAUAAGGAUGAUAGUUCUUCAUCCAGAUGGGGCUAUUUUACUUAACAAGCAUUUUGAAGCAGAAAACGACAUUAUAGUGGAAGUGAUUAAGAAAGUCACUGUAAGUCCGACAAUUCCUGCGAAUCUGUUGACUAGCAUUCGUGCUGUGACUAAUCUCUUCAGGAAUUCAUGCUACUACAAUUGGUUGCAGAAACAUCGUAGUGAGAUACUUGACGCUUUCUCAAGUUGUAGUUCAUCUCCAAACAAAAAUUUGCAGUUGUCAUACUCUACCUUGUUACUAAAUUAUGCUGUGCUGUUGAUUGAAUCAAAUGAUCAAGAAGGUCAAUCUCAAGUUCUAUCAGCAGCUCUUGAGCUUGCCGAGGAUGAAAAUGUGGAAGUUGAUUCCAAAUUUCGUGCUUUGGUUGCUGUUGGAUCUCUGAUGCUUAAGGGUCUCGUCAGAAAAAUAGCUCUGGAUUUUGAUGUUUUGAACAUUGCAAAAGCAGCUAAGGGUUCUAAGGAUGCCAAGAUUGCUGAAGUCGGAUCUGACAUUGAGCUGUUAACAAAGCAGACCUGAAAUGGUGUUCCGCUCCUCCAAAUAAAAUGAAGGAUUACUUUUUGUACUAAAAGGAUGUCAGCAACCAAUAUCACUGUUUAGAGUGUAAAACUGUCAUCUUUUUGUAUUUAAAAACAAGGAGCUCUUUCAUUUUAGAAGAUUCAUCGAAAGUGGCUCAGCAGCAGUAACCUACAAUUACAGAUUUCCACUCCCUACUGAGAUAAUUAUAGUUGAAAAACCAUGAGACGUUUAUCAGAUAGAUUGUGUAAGCCAAUUGAGCAAUCGAGAACAUUAUAGUCUUUUUUUAUAAUUUGCUUUAAUUUUAGGUUAUUAGUUAUUUAACAUUUGGGGACGUGAAUGAAGUGUGUGUGCUACCAGCGUGUUUGUUUUUUCUAUUUAAGAGUGCACGUUUUGGUCUUAUCCAUCAAACAGAUUCUAUUU